AUGGAUGAUGCCGCGGUGCACGUUCUCGUGUUCCCUUGGCCACGGCAGGGACACAUCAACCCCAUGCUCCAUUUCGCCACCGCCCUCGUCGACGCCGGCGUCCAAGUUACCUUCCUCCACACCGAGCGCAACCUCCGUCGUCUUGCUCAGGCGCCUCCGCCGGGCCUCCGCUUGCUGUCCAUCCCCGACGGCCAACCCGACGGUCACCCUCCCGGCUUCUUGGAGCUCCUGGAGUCCAUGUCCACGACCGGCAGCGCGGCGUACCGGGCCCUGCUCUCUGCUGCCGAUGCGCCGGUGACAUGCGUUGUCGCCGACAGCACCAUUCCGUUCGCCUUCGACAUCGCCGAGGAGCUCGGCAUCCCAUCGCUCGCCUUCGUCACGCACAGCGCGUGCAGUUACCUGGCGAUCCUAUCUAUGCCCAAGCUCGUCGAGCUCGGCGAGACCGCCUUCCCUGCAGACGACCUGGUGCGUGGCGUUCCGGGGAUGGAGGGCUUCCUCCGGCGACGAGAUCUCCCACGUGGACUCUGCUGCGCUGAAAGAGGCGGCGAAGACCCCUUGGUGCUCAAGAUCGCCGAGGUCACCGCUCGUACCAGCAAGGCACGUGCACUCAUAGUCAACACCGCCGCGUCCAUGGAGCGGUCAGCGCUCGCCCACAUCGCGUCGUGCACAACCGACGUCUUCGCCGUAGGCCCGCUUCACGCGAGGUCGAGGUUCGCCGCAAGCGCGAGCCUGUGGCGGGAGGACGACGAGUGCAUGGCAUGGCUGGACGGCCACGACGACCGGUCCGUCGUGUACGUGAGCCUGGGGAGCCUCGCCGUGAUCACGCAUGAGCAGUUCACUGAAUUCCUCGCCGGCCUGGCAGCCACCGGGUACGCCUUCCUCUGGGUGCUCCGGCCGGACAUGGUCCAAAUGGCCAGCUCCGCGCUCCUCCGAGAGGCCGUCGGGGCAGCCGAGGGCGGCAGAGGGCGCGUCAUCGAGUGGGCUCCUCAGCGCGACGUGUUGCGGCACCGGGCGGUGGGCUGCUUCCUGACACACGCAGGAUGGAACUCGACGCUGGAGUGCGCCGUCGAGGGCGUGCCGAUGGUGUGCUGGCCCUUCUUCGUCGACCAGCAGACCAACAGCCGCUUCGUGGAUGCCGUGUGGAGGACGGGGCUGGACAUGAAGGACAUCUGCGACAGAGGUGCCGUGGAGAGGACAGUGAGGGAGGUCAUGGUGUCCGACGAGAUCUGGGGGGUGGCCCAAGCCAUGGCGCAACAGUUGAGGCUCGAUGUCGCGGAGACGGGGUCGUCGUCCUCUGAUUUCGAACGGCUCGUCCACUUCAUCGGGGAGCUGAAGCACUGUGUGAAGCCUAGCUCAGGCUGA
rnacentral:rRNA from 1 species